GGCUACGAAAUAUUUUUGUUUUCAUUUCUUUGCUUUCAAAGAAACCAACGAAAUCAGUAUAAAAAAAAAGAAACCAACGAAAUCAUUAGCUUCAACCAAAUACUACAUUCUACCAAUAUUCUCACCGCCGCGUUCAAUUCUCACUGCCGCCGCCGCAGGUCUCUGAUUUCUCGUAGCGCCGUACAAUUAUUCAGAGUAAGUUCCUCCAAAGAGUGGCAUGCAUUGAUGCAUGAUGGAAGGAUCGUGAUACUGCUGUAAUCAAGGGAUAAAUUUGUGACACAGUGAAAGCAAGGAAGAAGUGUAACGAGAAAUUCAUCUGAUAGAUGGCAAAAGCUGAAGUCAACAACACUUUUCUCAUCUGAUAGAUGGCAAAAGCUGAAUUCAACAACACUUUUCACAUCUGAAGAUGUUUCCCGCAAUUGACCUUUUCCCUUCUUGAUUCGUGCAAGCCCCUUGCAACUGUAAGCCUCCAAGGCCUUAAGUUCUGGCAACAUAAAAAUACUACUCGGUAGUUCAAGUAGGUUGUUGCAUCUGUCUAUAGCCAGGUUUGCAAGCCCCACAAGAAGUCCAAUGGAGAAGGGCAAAUCACAUAUCCCACUAUCACUCAAAACAAGGUAAGUUGAUGCCACGGGGAAGAAUCUUGAGACCGGUGCAACCAUUAAGAUUCAAAUCUUCAAGUUUUCCAAGGAACCCAACGGAAUCAUGAACUUUAACUAAUCUCUUGCAGGAAUCAAGAUGCAGUUUCUUCAAAUUUGGAGCUCCAGACAUGUCAGGUACUUUCUUUAAGGAUUGACACUUGCUUAACUUCAUUUCUGUCAAAGAUUUAAAUUCCUGAAAAAUAAAAUCAAUAACUAUUUUAUGAAUUUUUAAGUAGCUAGGUUUUAUUAUUUAAACUCGGAAAAUAAAUAAAAUAUCAAUACCAUGAUUUUUUGUUUGCCGAAGGUAAAAAGGCCCAUAGACAGGUCGAGUAUGACAAGUUUCUUUGGAUCAUAAUGAGCUGGCAAUGACGAUUCAGGAUAAUCACACCAUUUUAGCACUUUUAAACUUUUUGGGAGAUGAGUAGGUCCUCUGGAAAAGUGAGCUUUUUCUAUUACCAGUAUUUUGAGGUUUUCCAUUUUCUUCAAUGCAUUUCCAUCCCAUUGGACUUCUUUAUCUUUGAGUAGGCGUAGCAUGAUGACCUCAGUUUUAUCAGACCCCUUCAAACAAACAUCACUAAAUAUUAUACACCACCUCUAAUUAAACAGGAUAUUAUCUAUCAAGUUUUUAUAUUCAGUCUAACUCAUUCUUACAAAACCGCCUUAUAAGGUAAAGGGUAUCACUCUUGAUAAACUCAUUGCAGGCUCUAUCUUAUUCUCCGUGGGGGGUUCACCUUCACGCCCAAGACUAUUGGGUUUAGUGUGUGGAUAUAAAUGGAUUCACCCUCACACCCAAGACUAUAUGACCUGAUAAAUGGUUAUUAGUGGCAAUCUUCAUCCCACCCAAGGAGCUGGGUUUUGAGGUUGAGUUUAGCUCAAACCUAUUCUAAAAUGAUAUUAGAAUCUAUCUAUCUGAUGCAGAUGUCAAACUUCACCCUCCUGGCAUCUAAGGUUAGGUGUGGGGUGUGUGUUGAACAACAGUUAUAAGUGGGGGCCAGCCUCACUUCAUUAGCAAACUUUUGGGGUUAAGUUAGAUGGCUUUGUCUAAUGUGCACAAACAAAAUUGUCUUGCAUCAUGAACAAGUGUGUUUUUUACCAUUGGAUCAAUAAGUCACGUCAUAUCUCAUUUGUUCCAAGGGUGUGAUCUUUUAAAUCCAAUGGUAGAAACCAGCUUGUGCAUUAUGCAAGAUAUAUAUCACUUGUGCACCAUAGACUUGGCCGAGUUAGACCCCAAUUCAAAUUCUAAGAGUCAUCAUACACUGGAGAUAUACUGGGUUAUAAGUUAGAUGGGUUUUGUCAAAAAAGGAAAAAGAAUAAGAAUCCUAUAGACAAUAAUCCCUUCACGUACCUUGUUCUCUUUGAAAACAUGUAGAAUAUCUGUGGAGAACCAUAAUCUACUGCGUUCACCUGGCUUUGAGGCUGAUUCCAGCCGCACAAUUUCUCUUCCCAUAUCUUCAAUCAUGUCAUGUAUCCUCACGUGACAAUGAUCAAUUUUUAUCAGGCUUUUAUCAAUCAGCACCUGGAUAGCAUAGUCUGGGUUGAAGCCACGUCCCCUGGUUAGUAUGUUCGCAACAUCACUUAGUUUGUAUCCUUUGAAGAAGCAAGCGAUGUCUAAAAAGAUUUCCUUCUCAAAUUCUUUUAAGCCAUCAUAACUUACUCGUAGGAUUUCCUGAAUAUUAUCAUGAGGAAUUCUCUCAUAAGUAUCCAAAGCAGAUUUCCACUCCGAUUUUGUUUUACCGUACAAGUCAGAGCCUAUUAUUUCAACAGACAAUGGAAGUCCAUUAGAAUAACGCACUGCUCUCUUUGAAAUGUCCACAUAACUAGGAUCAAUUUCUUUUGUUUUGAAAGCAUUCCAAGCAAACAAUUCAAGGGCUUCUCCAUCCUUCAAUCCUUCUAAUUCAUAAACUCUUUCAAUGCGUUGAACAUGCAGCAAAUGCUUAUUCCUUGUUGUGAUAAUAACUCUGCUGCCUGAACCAAACCAGUCAAGUCCACCAGCAAGUGCUUCUAGUUGCUCCAACCUGUCAACAUCAUCCAGGAUCAAUAGAAUUUUUUUCCCAGAAAGUCUACUUUUUAUAAUAGAAAUUCCCUUAUUUAAACUGCACAAAUUAAGAUCUUUCUCCCCAGCUAAUUCCGAAAGAAGCAUCUCCUGUACUUGUACCAAACCAUACUUCUUUGAAUUGUCUCUAACAUUAGCAAGAAAACAGAGACUAUCAAAUCGAUCAGCAAUGCAAUUGUAUACGGCACAUGCAAGUGUUGUUUUGCCUAACCCACCCAUUCCAAAAAUCCCUACCAUUUGAACCACCUCAUCUGAUUCAAUUUCUAGAAGCGAGUUCAGUUUUUGCACUCGUGACACUAACCCAACAGGGUAUUUAGCAACAUGUAAAGGCCUACGAUUAAUCUUUUUAGAGACUUCUUUAACGAUCUCUUCAAUCAACUCAUACUCGUACCUGGUUCAAUCACAAAAUUUAUGUCUGAAGUGAAAUUAAUAUCAUAAUAUUAACUAUGUAUGUUGGACAAACUAAUUUAUCUAUGAAAGAAGGCUGCUGAGCCACGUACCCGUGUUUGAAAUGCCAACCCGAUAGGUUAGCUGCUUCUUCCAAAGCUGACCUCCAUUGUUUUACCUUUUCCUUGUCAAUGGUUUUUUCUCUUUCAUGAUUGGCCAGUGCUUCUGCGUAGCUCCCUUUCUGAUGGCGCACAUCAGAAGGGUCAACUUGAUAAAAAACUGGCCAAACCAACCUGCCAUUGCGUUUUAUGCACUCCAUGAUCUUUGUAAGUUCUUCCAAGCAAUAAGUGGAUGAUGCGUAGUUUUCUGAAAAAAUCACAAUUGCCGCCCUUGAUUGUUGGAUUGCUGUCAUGAGAGCUAGUUUGAUUUCUUCUCCUUUUCUUAGCUCUUUAUCAUCUAUGAAAGUGUUGAUUCCUUUUUCACAAAGUGCAUUAUAAAGGUUUCCGGUAAAACCCUUUCGAGUGUCCUCUCCUCGAAAACUGAGGAAAACAUCGUAAACCCAUUCAUGGGUAAAGGAAGAGGAGGACUGGGGUUUUAACUCUUUCAUUGUAGCCAUUAUGGUUCUUGAAAAGAAAAAAGAUGUAGAUGCUCCAAUUAAUCAAGGUGAUAUGCUACGUAUAUUAAAUAAAUUAUUAAAAAUGUAUUUUAUAUGUAAUAUCUAAUUUAAAUUAUUAAUUAUGUAUUUAAAUAUAUAGGUAGUUAUUGGUAGUUUUCAGAAGUUAUUAGUAGUUUUAAAAUAUUUGUAUUGUAUGUGUAAAAAGAAUGAAGAAAAUUAUUCCGAAAAGAUUUUUCUCUAUUCUAUCAAGACAUAUUCCUUCUCGAAUUAGAACAAUUAACUCAUUCAAUCAUAUACCAUAUUCUGUUAUUGAUGCUUUUUUUAUUUUAUUUUAAUUUACAAUGUAGUUGAGGAUCGAACCCAAGAUCUCUAGUUUUUAUUUUAUUUUAUUUUUAUUAAGUCUAGUGACUUAAUAAUAUUUUUUUGUCAAGUAGACUAGUGGCUAGAAAUUCCACUCUUAAGGUAGAUAAAUGGGAUGACCAAAGUUCAACUAUACAUACACAUUAACUUUUAUAGUUUGUGAUUGAUUAUUUUACUACUUCAAAUUAGUUGAUUCUUAAAUUUGUUACUUUUAAAUUAUGUACUAGUAGGAUACCCGUGCUGCCGUACGGGGAGCGCGCCGUAGUUGCUGUGCGUAUUUAAAAAAUGAUUUUUUAUUUUUUUUAUAUAAAUGAAAAAAUAGAAAAGGUUUUUAGAUUAAAUUGUUAAUUUAGAUUAGAAUUGAAAAGUAUAAAAAAGUUUAAAAUGUUAGCAUUGAAAAAAUGUCUGUAAAGGGGAGAAUAUAAAAAUUGUAGCAUGAAACAAACUGAUGAGAGAGAAUGAAGGAGGGUACAGGCCGAGAGGUAAUGAAGCUUGGAGCAAGCUUGGGUAGAGGCCGAGAAUAUAAACACUUGUUUUGGUGUAUUUAUUUGCAAAGGUUGUUUACCAACACGCUCUCGAUUAACGGAUCAUCAUGUCAACUGUCAAAUGGAAUGUUCAAUGUGCUUGCAUCAUGAAGAGAAAGAGUGACACCUUUUCUUUGAAUGUGAAGGGAGUAGAGAAGCUUGGAGUGUGAUGGGAUUAGAACAUAUUAUUUAUCCAAGAAUGCAACUCUUUAAUAAUAUCAAUGAUUUGAUUUUCGAUAUUUGCUGUCAUGAAAAUAAGAAAAUGGUGGGAAGAAUGGCUAUGGUGAUGUGGACAAUAUGGAACAAUAGGAAAAAUUAUGUGUGGAAUGAUACUAAAAUGAAUGCACGGCAAGUUGGUUAUCAAGCAGCAAACCUUUGGGACGAAUGGCAGCAGUGAACAAUGGAGAAGAUGCGCACCAGCAGCUACUGUCUGAGAUGACAGCAACACAGUGACAACCCCCUAUGCAAGGUCGAUUAAAGUGUAACGUGGAUGCGAGCUUCUACAAUGCAGCAGGUGUAACUGGUUGGGGCUUGUGUGUUCGGGAUUACCAGGGCUGUUUCGUUAGUGCAGCCUCGAACUAUAUUCAACAAAGGCUCAACACAAUUGAAGGGGAAGCUGUGGCAUUCAAGGAAGCAAUACGUGAGUGUUGGUACAUCCGAGUUUAGCAUUUUAAUUUUUAAUAUCAAAACUUUAUUAUUAUUGUAUCCCAACUUUGAGGUGAAGUUCUCGUACCUUAAAAAGGGCGGCCUAUUCUCACUCUAGUCACUGUUUGUUUGAUUUGAUUGCUCAUUGUAUUGAGAACACUUUGAUUGAUGAAA